UCAACGGCUGCCUUAAGGCUGUUUACACCUCCUCUACUUUGGCAGCAAAAUGUCUACAGUGUUGCUGCAGUUCCCUGAUAGUUUGAUAUGUUGUUUGGGUCUGUGGUUUCUCUUUGGUCUUCUUGGACGUGUCAUUGCCUGCAGGAUCCGUGGAUACAUUUCAUUGUACAGCAUCAGCACACAGAUGAUGAAGUAAAGGACAUUAGAUGCUUCAUGCUGCAGCAAAGUCCCCCACCAAAGAAGCCUGUCUGUAUCUUCAUCCUCUCUUCAACCGAGUUCUAAUGGAGUCUCCACAGACAGGACGAGUACAAAGGGGCUGAAGCAGGCAGACAGGCACUCAGACUACUGAGAGCCGGCGCUUGGCAGAGAUCCGAUCCACAUGAGAGCCUCCUUAGAUCACAAUCCUGCCUUCACUCAGGUACGCAGAUUCACUCCCACCCCUCCACCGCAGCACCCCUUUCUCCAUCUUCUCCUCGCUUUCCUUCAUCAUAGUCUCCCCCUCAUUAAAACUCUUAAUUGACUCAUUCACACCUGCUCGUGCACUGGCUCAUUUGGGACAAGCCUCCACCACCAGAGCAGAUUUUCUCAUCAACUGCAAGUUCACUCCGGUGCACACUGUCCUUCACUCACCUACAGGGCUAAACAAUGAUCUCAGACUGUGUGUACGUAUGCGGGUGAAUAUCACUGUGUUAAAGUAUGUGCACUCACAUGUGUGAGUGCACAUACAUGAAACAAAGUGGAAGAUUCUUCGAGAAAAAAUACAAAGUUCUGAGAGAGGCUGUAAUCAAUAAUCUUUUAUUUGAGUUGUAUUAAUGUUAGUUUUCGUUAAAUCAAAGAGGAAUGAUCUAAACUGUACAUUGGAAGGUAAAACUGAAAGUAAAUACAUCUCUGUUUAUUGCAAUGUAAAACUGUGUUCACACAGGCUGUGGUAAGUACGUUACAGUAGGUUAAGGUGGAACCAGGAAGCACAGUAGCUUAUCUAGUAGGAACCAGUACUUGGAUUGUAUCUUGUUGUCCCAUAUCCAGCUAAUUGCGCGCUAGCUUAGUCAUUCUCGUGCUUCAGCUCUGCUUUUAAAUGAUCUCAUACAUAGAUGCCAGAAAAAGUAAUUUCUCAUCACCAGUGGCCUCAGGUACAUCUUCAUCUCCAGAGCUACAGUCAUCAAAAUCUUCCAAUAACAAAUCUGCGCUAAAACUGAUACCCAGAUGCUGACUAUCAUGUUACUAUGAUAGUACGCUAAUAUAAGCACGUGUUUUAAUCAUUGUGUUAUAAAUUAUAAUAAAAGGUGCGGUCAUGUGACCAAAAAACAUCUAUUACUUGCCUUGGGUCUGUAGCGACCCUAUAGUUAAAGUAAAAGAAAGAAUAACACUAGAAAAACAAAGCUUUGUGUUAAUUUUAACAAUUUUAACCAAGCAAAUUGUUAAAAACAAAUAAUUUGAUUAACACCAAGGAGUUGAGGGCUUACUUGAAUAAGAUGAGUAGGUGUAACAUAGUAAAACCUG
rnacentral:lncRNA from 1 species